UACGUAGGGGGCUAGCGUUGUCCGGAAUCAUUGGGCGUAAAGAGCGUGUAGGCGGUCCGGUAAGUCCGCUGUGAAAGUCGGGGGCUCAACCCUCGAAUGCCGGUGGAUACUGUCGGGCUAGAGUGCGGAAGAGGCGAGUGGAAUUCCUGGUGUAGCGGUGAAAUGCGCAGAUAUCAGGAAGAACACCCCGUGGCGAAGGCGGCUCUCUGGGACGGUACUGACGCUGAGGCGCGAAAGCCAGGGGAGCAAACGGG
rnacentral:rRNA from 1 species